rnacentral:rRNA from 1 species
AUUGAACGCUGGCGGCAUGCUUUACACAUGCAAGUCGAACGGUAACAGGCCGCAAGGUGCUGACGAGUGGCGCACGGGUGAGUAAUGCAUCGGAACGUGCCCAGUCGUGGGGGAUAACUACUCGAAAGAGUAGCUAAUACCGCAUACGAUCUAUGGAUGAAAGCGGGGGACCGUAAGGCCUCGCGCGAUUGGAGCGGCCGAUGUCAGAUUAGGUAGUUGGUGGGGUAAAGGCUCACCAAGCCAACGAUCUGUAGCUGGUCUGAGAGGACGACCGGCCACACUGGGACUGAGACACGGCCCAGACUCCUACGGGAGGCAGCAGUGGGGAAUUUUGGACAAAGGGCGCAAGCCUGAUCCAGCAAUGCCGCGUGCAGGAAGAAGGCCUUCGGGUUGUAAACUGCUUUUGUACGGAACGAAACGGCUCUGGUUAAUACCCGGGGCUAAUGACGGUACCGUAAGAAUAAGCACCGGCUAACUACGUG